rnacentral:rRNA from 1 species
CCUCGUUGUUGCAUCCCUCUUUUUUCGGUUUUUCUCUUUUUUUUUUGUUAAAAAUGUAUGACUCUGAAAACUUUUAGACAAUGAAGCCAAACUUGGCAUGUGAUACUUUUUCGGAAAGCCCAAAGAGAGCUCUCCGAUGAUGAGGAAGGAAAAUGGAAUUCUUCUAUUGUGUUUUUUUCUACUCCAACUUUUGACCUUAAUGUACUUUUUCGGGCCUUUUCGUGAUCUUUGCUAUAUUACAGGGCGAAAAUUAUAUGUUCGGACAUUGUUUUCGAAUAAUUUGGAUGUAUCAAAUCUCUUAUAAACAAGAUAAGGUAUUCCUACAUAGCUGGUGGGACCCACGGCAAAUCGAACAUAAAGUCUUCAAAAAAGAAUAUAUACGAUUGCAUUGCAUGUAGUACCGGAUGCGAUCAUACCAGCACUAAUGCACCAGAUCCCAUCAAAACUCCGCAGUUAAGCGUGCUUGGGCGAGAGUA